rnacentral:rRNA from 1 species
UACGUAGGGGGCAAGCGUUGUCCGGAUUCAUUGGGCGUAAAGAGCGUGUAGGCGGCCAGGUAGGUCGGUUGUGAAAACUGGAGGCUCAACCUUCAGAGGUCGACCGAAACCAUCUGGCUAGAGUCCGGGAGAGGAGAGUGGAAUUCCUGGUGUAGCGGUGAAAUGCGCAGAUAUCGGGAGGAACACCAGUAGCGAAGGCGGCACUCUGGGCCGGUACUGACGCUGAGGAGCGAAAGCGUGGGGAGCGAACAGG